GAGUUUGAUCAUGGCUCAGAACGAACGCUGGCGGCAUGCCUAACACAUGCAAGUCGAACGAACUCUUCGGAGUUAGUGGCGCACGGGUGCGUAACGCGUGGGAAUCUGCCCUUGGGUACGGAAUAACUCAGAGAAAUUUGUGCUAAUACCGUAUAAUGACUUCGGUCCAAAAGAUUUAUCGCCCAAAGGAUGAGCCCGCGUAAGAUUAGCUAGUUGGUGGGGUAAAGGCCUACCAAAGGCUACGAUCUUUAGCUGGUCUGAGAGGAUGAUCAGCCACACUGGGACUGAGACACGGCCCAGACUCCUACGGGAGGCAGCAGUGGGGAAUAUUGGACAAUGGGCGAAAGCCUGAUCCAGCAAUGCCGCGUGAGUGAUGAAGGCCUUAGGGUUGUAAAGCUCUUUUACCCGGGAUGAUAAUGACAGUACCGGGAGAAUAAGCUCCGGCUAACUCCGUGCCAGCCGCCGCCGUAAG
rnacentral:rRNA from 1 species